rnacentral:ncRNA from 2 species
AGCGGUCAUGGCGAAUGGGAUGAACCAUACGUCUGAAUAAGGUGCCGAAAUGUACUAUCACUGAUACCAUAAAGGGAGUCCAUGUAUUUAGACAGCAGGUCGGUGCCCCUAAAAGCAGGUAUCCGCUAAAGAGUGUGUUAAAACUCACCUGCCGAAUACUAGGGCCCCGAAAAUGAAUGGCGCAUAUAGUACUACCGAUCUCAGACAUCAGUUCUAUUGAACUGAGAGUAGGGGGAUGUGGACAUUUUUGUGAAGGUGCAAUGUGAGUUGGACUGGAAGAAUGUCUAUUACAGAUCCUAAUUGAAGUAGCGAUUAUCCAGGCUUGUAUCCUGGGGGCUGAUGAGGAGUAGGGUUUCUGGACAACUUAAACAGAUCCAGAGUUAGUCGAUCCUAAUCUCAAUAAUGGGAGAAAGGGAGUACAGUUGAUAUUCUGUAACUGACAACAGUUCGCGGCAACGCAUACUAUUUUUCUCCGCCAAUCUUAUACCGUUGGUAGGGAUCUCUUUCCUACAUGACAGUACUAAUACCCAGGGAAACUGGUCAUCAGGCGAACUGCGGCGUUCUGCUGGCAAAACAUAGCUUCGGUUAUGUCAAUGGCUAUUGGAUUGGUCCAUGAAGCGAAAAAUAGUUUACUGUGUCACUCGUACCGAUAACCGCAUCAGGUCUUCUAGGUAAGUAGCCUAUGGCCAUUGAGGCAUGAUAGUUCAGGGAAUUCGGCCAAUUAGAGCUGUAACUUCGGGAUAAAGCUUGGCUCUGAUGAAAAUCAGAACCGAUUGUUACGCGGAGAGCCCAACUGUUUAAUAAAAACGUAGUGUCGCGCUGUGGUAGUAUAGCCAGUGAACGCGACAUGAAUCCUGCUCAGUGCUGUGUCUGUUAAUAUGGUUCAAGCCAACGAAGCACCGGUAAAUAGCUGGGGUAACUAUGACUCUUAUCAAAGUAGCGAAAUACCUCGUCACUUAAUUAGUGACCUGCAUG